AGCAGCCGCGGUAAUUCCAGCUCCAAUAGCGUAUAUUAAAGUUGUUGCAGUUAAAAGCUCGUAGUUGAAUUUCGGGAUCAAUUAGUCGGUCGUGCCUCUGGUACGUACUGGUUUUAUUGGUUCCUCCCUUCUGACGAAACAUGAUGUCAUUAAUUUGGUGUCGUGGAGAAUCAGGACUGUUACCUUGAAAAAAUUAGAGUGUUUAUAGCAGGCUAACGCUUGAAUACAUUAGCAUGGAAUAAUGAAAUAGGACGUUCGACCCUAUUUUGUUGGUUUCUAGGAUCGACGUAAUGAUUAAUAGGGAUAGUUGGGGGCAUUAGUAUUCAAUUGUCAGAGGUGAAAUUCUUGGAUUUAUUGAAGACUAACUACUGCGAAAGCAUUUGCCAAGGAUGUUUUCAUUAAUCAAGAACGAAAGUUAGGGGAUCGAAGACGAUCAGAUACCGUCGUAGU
rnacentral:rRNA from 1 species